UACGAAGGGGGCUAGCGUUGCUCGGAAUUACUGGGCGUAAAGCGCACGUAGGCGGCUUUCUAAGUCGGGGGUGAAAUCCUGGAGCUCAACUCCAGAACUGCCUUCGAUACUGGAGAGCUCGAGUCCGGGAGAGGUGAGUGGAACUGCGAGUGUAGAGGUGAAAUUCGUAGAUAUUCGCAAGAACACCGGUGGCGAAGGCGGCCCACUGGAUCGGUACUGACGCUGAGGUGCGAAAGCGUGGGGAGCAAGCAGG
rnacentral:rRNA from 1 species